AGGAAUGUGACCUGGUUCUUUAGCUCAAGCCUCUCCUCUCAGCCUUUCUCAGCCAUCUGCCUUUGACAUACACAAUGGAGGUUUAGACUGUCAAGAGGAUCUGGAAGCAGGCAGUGACUGGGGGACAUGCUGCAUAGACUCCUUGCCACCCCCCCACUCCCCCCCCCCCACACACCAGGCACUCUCUGCCUUUAUGAUACCUCUGCUGUGUGGGCACCAGGGAGAAUCCCAGCCACAGAAGACAGCUUCCUGAAAAACAUCCAUCCCAGGAGGAGACAGUCCUUGGCUAUGGUGAGCUGCAGCUGAACUUGGAUUCUGUGGAUACAGAUCACAGAAUGACUUGGAAAUAUCAAAACCCGUUGUCCAGCACUUGGGAACACUUGGGGCUCUGGAAUGGUGGCCACUGAAGAGCACCACAGGUCUUAACGGCUCUCUGAAAUCGUCUUAGCACUGAGAGGCUCAAGCUAUGGACACCCCUUUCAGACAGGCUGUGAUGUCCUGGAUCUUCUGCCUCCAGAUCCUGAUCUCAGUUUUGAGCGUAGUGUAUGCUUUUGCACAUGACUUUAGGGCAAAUAAGGGAAGGAAGGUGGAGUUUUUGUCUUUUGAGGAUUCAGGCUUUACCUCUAGAUAUUAGUGUGGUUAAGAUUUGAAAAUCUAUAGUAAGACAAUAUUACUUUGGGGAAACCAUCACAUGGAAAUAAAGGCUCUUAUUCUUAUGG